rnacentral:rRNA from 1 species
GAUGAACGCUGGCGGCGUGCCUAACACAUGCAAGUCGAGCGAGAAGUUUGUAAUUGAUACCUCGGCUGAUUUUUUAAGUGGAGAGCGCCGGACGGGUGAGUAACGCGUAGGCAACCUGCCCCAUAGAGAGGGAUAGCAUCGUGAAACUGGUAUUAAAACCUCAUACUGCAUCCUAGACACCAGUCAAAGAUUGGAAAGAUUUAUCGGUAUGGGAUGGGCCUGGGUGUGUGUAGUUAGUUGGUGAGGUAACAGCUGACCAGGGCGAUGAUCAGUAGCCGUCCUGAGAGGGUGAUCGGCCACAUUGGAACUGAGACACGGUCCAAACUCCUACGGGAGGCAGCAGUGGGGAAUAUUGCACAAUGGGCGAAAGCCUGAUGCAGCAACGCCGCGUGAGCGAUGAAGGCCUUUGGGUCGUAAAGCUCUGUCCUAGGGGAAGAAAAAAAUGACGGUACCCUUGGAGGAAGCCCCGGCUAACUACGUGCCAGCCGCCGCCGUAA